GCAGGUAUAGUUUUAAAUCAAACGCUAGACCGUGACUCUAGAGAUAGAAGUUAAACCCUUCUUACCUGCC
rnacentral:tRNA from 1 species